rnacentral:rRNA from 1 species
UACAGAGGGUGCGAGCGUUGUUCGGAAUUAUUGGGCGUAAAGCGCUUGUAGGCGGCACGUCAAGUCGCGUGUGAAAUCCCCAGGCUUAACCUGGGAAGUGCGCGCGAAACUGACGAGCUUGAGUGCCGGAGAGGGUCGCGGAAUUCCCGGUGUAGAGGUGAAAUUCGUAGAUAUCGGGAGGAACACCAGUGGCGAAGGCGGGUCUCUGGGCAGUAACUGACGCUGAGGAGCGAAAGCGUGGGUAGCAAACAGG